rnacentral:rRNA from 1 species
AUUGAACGCUGGCGGCAGGCUUACCACAUGCAAGUCGAACGAGUGGCGGACGGGUGAGUAAUGUCUGGGAACCUGCCCUAUGGAGGGGGAUAACUACGGGAAACUGUAGCUAAUACCGCGUACUAUCGGAGGUGCCCAAGUGGGCUUAGCUAGUUGGUGUGGUAAAGGCUCACCAACCGACGAGCUCUAGCUGGUCUGAGCGGAUGACCAGCCACACUGGGACUGAGACACGGCCCAGACUCCUACGGGAGGCAGCAGUGGGGAAUAUUGGGCAAUGGGGGAAACCCUGACGCAGCCAUGCCGCGUGUAUGAAGAAGGCCUUCGGGUUGUAAAGUUCUUUCGGUAGCGAGGCGUUAGCUGCAGAAGAAGCACCGGCUAACUCCGUGCCAGCAGCCGCGGUAAUAC